rnacentral:rRNA from 1 species
GACGAACGCUGGCGGCGUGCCUAAUACAUGCAAGUAGAACGCACAGUUUAUACCGUAGCUUGCUACACCAUAGACUGUGAGUUGCGAACGGGUGAGUAACGCGUAGGUAACCUGCCUGGUAGCGGGGGAUAACUAUUGGAAACGAUAGCUAAUACCGCAUAAUAUUAAUUAUUGCAUGAUAAUUGAUUGAAAGGUGCAAAUGCAUCACUACCAGAUGGACCUGCGUUGUAUUAGCUAGUAGGUGAGGUAACGGCUCACCUAGGCGACGAUACAUAGCCGACCUGAGAGGGUGAUCGGCCACACUGGGACUGAGACACGGCCCAGACUCCUACGGGAGGCAGCAGUAGGGAAUCUUCGGCAAUGGACGAAAGUCUGACCGAGCAACGCCGCGUGAGUGAAGAAGGUUUUCGGAUCGUAAAGCUCUGUUGUAAGAGAAGAACGGGUGUGAGAGUGGAAAGUUCACACUGUGACGGUAUCUUACCAGAAAGGGACGGCUAACUACGUGCCAGCAGCCGCGGUAAUACGUAGGUCCCGAGCGUUGUCCGGAUUUAUUGGGCGUAAAGCGAGCGCAGGCGGUUAGAUAAGUCUGAAGUUAAAGGCUGUGGCUUAACCAUAGUACGCUUUGGAAACUGUUUAACUUGAGUGCAGAAGGGGAGAGUGGAAUUCCAUGUGUAGCGGUGAAAUGCGUAGAUAUAUGGAGGAACACCGGUGGCGAAAGCGGCUCUCUGGUCUGUAAACUGACGCUGAGGCUCGAAAGCGUGGGGAGCAA